rnacentral:lncRNA from 1 species
CGGUGGCUAAUGAUGACAACAGCAACAGCACUGAGCACAGAAAACUCCACAGGCCUGGGCUCGGCUCAUCGCACAGCCUCCAUCUCUGGAUGCCCUGUGAGGGUUCUGUCAUUAUCCACAUUUUAGAGAUGAGGAAACUGAGGCUUAAAAGGGCUAAGUGACCAACCCACUGACACAGCGAUUCGAGCUUAGGCUGGCCCAUCCCAGACCUGGACUGCCCACCUCUCUCCCCUUUCGCAGCCGACCUGGCUGCCAGCUCUCGUCCUUCCUCUGCGGGGUUUGGCUUUUCCCUCCUCUCUUCCCCAGGUGGUCCCGUCCCGGGCACUGCCUCGAGUCUCACGGUGUGCAGGGCCAGGCAGACGAGCUGCUGACUGCAGCUUCGCUGUAAUCUACCGACUCUAACGGCAGCUCAGCUCGCACGGGGCUAGCACAGCGAACACGUGCGCACGGGGAUGGGCGGAGAACCGAGUGACGACAGCAAAGAGCCAGGGGGAGCCAGGAAAAGCUCGAAAAUCAGCGUAACGCUGUUGGAGAUGAGAGGGCACAGCACAAUUUUGAGAGCCAAACAAAGGCGGGGCACAGAGCUGUUGCCUCGAGAUGUGUGGCCUCAGAAGGUCUUGUCGAGGAUUCAAGGAGAUUCAAAACCCGUGUCACUGCUGCCAUCUUCCUAGAAUCCCUUUAAAUCCUCAUGGAUUUGCUGACAUUGGGAGCAUCCUGAAAGAGUCCCCAUGCUAGGGUGGCUGCAGUAACAGGUACAAUGAGAAAUGAUGGUUCUCCCCACUCCAGAAAAAAUCAAAUCAGAUUGUGAAUUUAUUCCCUGACAUUAACACACGGCAUUACAGGAGCAUGUACAUCACAUGGUCAAUUUAUUGGCAUGAGGAUUAUGUCAUCGGGGAAUAAAUGGGAAAUUCUCAAGGAGAAGCCAAGUUGUGAGCAGUGCACCUUCACAAGCAAAGCCUCGACUGAAAUCUUCUCUAACAAUUGGCUGGUCACUCCUGAGCGUAAUCUACCCCUUCAGAACACUGGGGAUGAAUUUAGAGACAUCGAAGCCUCCUGAUGAGAAAUACGUGUCCACUCACCGGGAGAACUGAAAUACCAGGAGAUUUCUACACAAAUCUCACAGAGUCCUUCUGGCGUCCUAGGGGUUUGCUCACAUAUAAGGGACUUUCUGGUAGGAAGAGAGUCUCUUUACAUUCUUUAUUAUAUGAUCCUGGUGGCUUUGUAGAGAGAUGGUACAGCUGACAGAUCAUGUCCUGUGGGGCCAGGGAGUUGUGUGUGUGUGAAUGCUCUGUGAACUUGGGCAAACUACUUAGCCUCUCUGAGCCUUAGCUGCAUCAGCUUUGAAAAACAGGAUGAUAAAAUGGAGUCACCUUAUUUGACUUUUAUAAAUACACUUACACAAUUACACAAGUUGUGGGGAUGGGAAGAGAGAGUUGGGGAAAGAGAAAUGAGAGAGAGAGAGAGAGAGAAUGAAUGAUAAACAAUUUAAACAACAGUGGGGUGUAGACCAACGCCCAGCCUGGCAAGGGUGAGCCCAGAGAGCCUUCCCUCCUGGCUAUUGGCAGCCUCCGCAUGGAAGCCUGUCGUUGACUUCUUAAUGAUGAGAGAUGUUCUGGGGGCACUCCAGGAUUCUUGGACAUGGGAUCGUCUUCACAGCUGUGUCUAUUGAAAGCUGAAGUUUCAGUCUCCCCUGCCCCCUGCCCCCUGGAGUGGCUUCCCAGGGGAAAUUCAAGGGCACCUGUGACUGCAUGGCUGCUUUCCUUUCCUUUACUCAAUGCCGUCCUUUGGUGACAGCCGUGUCUCAUGCCAGGAUACAUGAGGUGCUCUAUAGUAGUAUGUUUUCCCUCCUGGGAGGUAAUUUUAUUUAAAUGUGAAGUCAAAAGGAUCACUAAAUAGAACCAUGAGGCAACCACUCUGGGCACCUGCCUGGUGAUAUCCACAAGAGCUGACCACAGGUGCCCCCUGUGCCCAGCAAGUCCUUGGCUGGGCAGUCACACAACAGGCAUGGGGAUGUGUGGCCACCAAGCCCUCCAGGGCAGUGCUAUUUGUAAUAGUCCCAAAUGGGAGAGAUGGCAAACGCCCGCCAAUGGGGCAGCAUGGAUAAAUGGAUGCUGCACAGCAACGGCGAUGAGUGAGCCCCAGCACCCGUGAGCUCACCAGUGUAAUAUUGGGUGGAAGAAGCCAGGAGGAAGGGCAUUCACAUUCUGUGAUUCCAGCUACACUAUGUUUAAAUAUGGGCAGAGCUAGGCUGUGGUGCUGGAAGCCAGGACAGUGGGAUCCUUGCAUGGGGGUGAUGGUGCUGGUAGGUUCUGGUAAUUUCCUCUUCUUGAUCUGGGUGUAAACAUUUUGUGAAAAUUCAAUGAGCUGUACAUUUAUGACUGGUACAUUUAUGACUUUGUAUGAAUAUUAUACUUUCAUAAAACUACUUUAAAAUAUGAUUGUGAACCUUUUUUCACCUAUUUUCUGCCAAUUAGCACCGAAUUGCUCACUAACUAAUGAGUGGUGCUGGUUUUGACUUGCUUGCUACACUGUCUUGAGACAGAUAGGGUUUUCUGUGCUUUGUAUGACCCCCUCUGGAACCAGGGUGGGACUGGGAACACUCGGAAAACAUGUGCUGACAGAUGCUGGGCAUCCCCGUGUUGGUGGAGGCAUGCUCAUUCCUCAGCAAAAUACCCAUAUGGGGUGUUGGCAGGAAAGAGGACAGAAAAGGACAAAGUAUUUGUCUCUGCUAGCGUUCCUGGAGCUGUCUCACCUUGGCCAAGCCCCCGCCCAGUCCUCUCCUAACGUGGACAGACUAGGGGGCAGAAACUAGUCAGCCAAAGAAUUUCCAAGCUAGGGGUUGAUGAAUGCUUGGAUAAUUUGCCCAUGAACACGUUGGAUUCUUCUUCACUUGCCAUCACGGGGGGAUAAGUACCCCAGUUUUUUUUUGGAGAGAAUUGAGGGACUGUGCCAUUGCAGUGUGGAUUUCAAGAGAUUUUAAACGGAAGGCAGAGUAACAGUGUGGUUUGGGAAGCUCUAAAGACAGUUGUCCUGGUGCGGUUUCUUCCAUAAAAGAGUGGGGACGCCAUGGACCUGCUCACCAAAUUCCAGUCCCGACACAGUUCUGUGAGGCACUCUCCACAUCAGGGCAGACGGGCAGGAGGAGUUUACACAGCGAUCUGGGGGCCAUUAGAGCACUGAGGGAUCCAUUGCUGUCUCUUGUUUCUGUUUCCCACACUGUGCUGGGUGCUGGGAACAUGACGAUGAACUUGAAGGAAAUAAUGUGUACGGUGGUUCAUUUCCAAGACAUAGUGCCUUGAAUCAGUUUAGGUCAGCAAACUACAGAAGAAACAGGAUAUACUAGGCCCCUGCUUGGAGAGCUGAUGCCUGUUUGUUGCCCCUCACCCCCUUAGUUGCCCUUACCAGAACCAAAGGAGUUUAGUCUAAGAUGAAAGUUUACUAGCCUGCAAAAUAGCUCACUUUGUCUGUUCUUAUCAGCCUGCCCAGCUACUUAGGUCAUAAGUGAAAUACUUGAAGAGCCCCUGAGCUAACUAGGAUUGCAAUGCAUUGUGGCUGCAACAAGAUGCAGCAAGACAACUGUAAAGAAAAUGCCUAAAACCCCUACCCACCAACCCAUAGGCGAUGUCCAGGAAGACUGUGACCUCCAUAGUACUCAGCAUUUGAGGAACUGGGGGAGGGACCUGUGCACUAGGGGAUAAAUUGCUUGUUGAAACUGUGCUGGGUGUGCCUGUCCAUCAGAUACCCUAUCUUGCAAGACUGUCG